GUACUUGCCUAGUAGGGUACCAUCUGUGAUCAACAGGGCCAAGGUCCUCGGAUGAGGGUAUUGCAUUACACUCUGGGUAUGCUGACCCCUGCAAGGUCCCCAAGUACGGGAUACUUGACUGCAGAAUUUGUGGUAUUUGGGGACUGCGUUUGCGCUGGGCAGCAC